rnacentral:rRNA from 1 species
UACGGAGGGUGCAAGCGUUAUCCGGAUUCACUGGGUUUAAAGGGUGCGUAGGCGGACAUGUAAGUCCGUGGUGAAAUCUCUAAGCUUAACUUGGAAACUGCCAUGGAUACUAUAUGUCUUGAAUGUUGUGGAGGUUAGCGGAAUAUGUCAUGUAGCGGUGAAAUGCAUAGAUAUGACAUAGAACACCAAUUGCGAAGGCAGCUUACUAUGGUAUGAUUGACGCUGAGGCACGAAAGCGUGGGGAUCAAACAGG